UACCGUUGGGUAUGCUUUGCGUGGCGUUUAGGUGACAACACCAGUGUUGUAUAUGACCCUUGCUGCUCAUCGAAUAUUAGCGGUGCACCCCACAUUGCGUACGAGGCCGUCACGAAGUUGUUAAAAUCCGCUAUGUCGAUGUUAUCGACUACGCUCUUCCCCUGGUGGAUUAAUGACUGGGGAAAUGCUCGGCUUGAGCUCUAUCAAACCAACCCGUCUCUGUCUACUUGUAUGAAUCGUAGUGGACUGUUUGUGCUAUAUUUUAUACGGUGCUUUGAUGGGGAGCGGUUGUCCCCACCGCUUGGCGUGGGCCAACUCCAAGAUUAGGCUUCUAUAUUGCUUGCAGAGCUGUCAUCCCUUUCAGGCAAUUUUGGAAGCGUUCCUCCCAUGUUCAGGUCGCUGCCUAAAGUAAAUAUGUAAUUGUUUACCACUAACCUCAUUAGCGCACACACCACAUCUUCUUGCUGUAUUACCGGUCUCUUGGCAUAUCUGUGUUCAAUUGUGCGAAUGAGUAUAUAUCCGUGAAUUUAUUUGUUUAUGAUCGUAGUCCCACCCAUCCACGCUCUCAACUAUUUUGUUUUCCUGUUAAGUUUGUUGUCCUUCAAUGAGGCUCACUCGCACGUUUGGUGUACAAUUCUGCGUGCGCACAA